AUUGAACGCUGGCGGCAUGCCUUACACAUUCAAGUCGAACGGUAACAGGUCUUCGGAUGCUGACGAGUGGCGAACGGGUGAGUAAUACAUCGGACCGUGCCCGAGGGUGGGGGAUAACGAGGCGAAAGCUUUGCUAAUACCGCAUACGAUCUCAGGAUGAAAGCAGGGGACCGCAAGGCCUUGCGCUCACGGAGCGGGCGAUGGCAGAUUAGGUAGUUGUUGGGAUAAAAGCUUACCAAGCCGACGAUCUGUAGCUGGUCUGAGAGGACGCCCAGCCCCACUGGGACUGAGACACGGCCAAGACUCCUACGGGAGGCAGCAGUGGGGAAUUUUGGACAAUGGGCGCAAGCCUGAUCCAGCCAUGCCGCGUGCAGGAUGAAGGCCUUCGGGUUGUAAACUGCUUUUGUACGGAACGAAAAGACUCUGGUUAAUACCUGGGGUCCAUGACGGUACCGUAAGAAUAAGCACCGGCUAACUACGUGCCAGCAGCCGCCGUAAAAC
rnacentral:rRNA from 1 species